CAGCCGCCGCGGGAAUACAGAGGGUGCGAGCGUUAAUCGGAUUUACUGGGCGUAAAGCGUGCGUAGGCGGCUAAUUGAGUCGGAUGUGAAAUCCCCGAGCUUAACUUGGGAAUUGCAUUCGAUACUGGUUAGCUAGAGUGUGGGAGAGGAUGGUAGAAUUCCAGGUGUAGCGGUGAAAUGCGUAGAGAUCUGGAGGAAUACCGAUGGCGAAGGCAGCCAUCUGGCCUAACACUGACGCUGAGGUACGAAAGCAUGGGGAGCAAACAGGAUUAGAUACCCGCGUAGUCCCUGUCUCUUAUCA
rnacentral:rRNA from 1 species